UAUAAAUCACUAUUCAGUAAUAAUUAUUACUCAUGACAAAAUGUAAAUACUGUUGUAGACUGUUGACAAUUUAGUGGCACAAUAACUCACUCAAUUAUGAUUUUCCAGCGAUCUGAAUCAGGAUGUUGUGAAAACUGUGGAUUUUGAUAGCCCUUCGGUAAAUGCAAAUCGUAACGAUGACCGCUGGUUUGUUCUGUCUGUCUGCUUGUGCCAUUUGCGUUUAUUAGAUCUAGUCAAAUCGCGUUAUCCGGCGCUAAAUUGAUUGAUACCGUCCUAACUCGUUUCACCUUUUUUACUUCUCCGAAUAUCCUGUUGGCUAUUGUUUGUUUAUUUGACGACAUGACGAAAACAGACUCAGUGUGUAUACCCGAUGACAUGAUGAAAACAGACUCUUUUUGUGUACCAGGAAAUGUGACUGUUUCAGACUCGAUUGAUGUACCUGAUUUCAUAGGUGACAAAGUGCUUACUAUGACGUAUUGUUGUAUUAAGAAAAAUGUGGGGAUGGACUGAUGACGAUAAAGUAUUGGAGACAAGUUGGAGAUUAAUGUUAUUAAUUUGGGUCACAAGGAAAGCUAGAAUCUAGUAGGAAAAAUCUAAAAAAUCUGAAGAAGCAAAUAUAACAAAAUAUGCUUCUUUGUCAAAACUAGAAUUGAGAAAAAGAAGCUAACCCAAAAAAAUGUUGGACAAGCUCAAGAACAAUCUGCAGAACCGAACAAUUUGCAAUACCAGUUCUAGAAGAUUAAGCAGCUAUUUGGGCUGUUGCUAAUAUUGUAUUAAAGAUUAUUCCAUAUUCAAAGCAUCUUGCCAUUGAAUUGUUGAAGGAACUCAAACAACCAUUAGUUGUAAAAAAGCGAUGGAGUUCAACCGCAUGAUGCACAAUACAUUCCAAAAGGAACGAUACAUUUUAUUUUUACACACCAUGAUUAGCCAAUAUUAGCUAAAAGAAAUGUUCAACAAUGGUCUGUCAGCCUAUAUUUCUAAAGAUAUUUUCUUACAUAUUUAUAUCACUCUUAAGAAUACAGAAACCACGAGUUGACCAUCAUCUAAUGUAAUGAAUGUGGUUCACGAUUUCGACUAUUCAAAAGAAUGUAAGAUUCAUCGAAAAAUCAAUUUACGGACCUGAUGAUUUUGAACACAGUGUAUGACAGAGUAUCGGAAUAUAUAAAAUCGGUUUACGAAACCAUUCAAAAGAACUACGACGUUUUGAUGAAGCUUAAUAUAUUGAUAGUGGUUGAAAAAUAUUAAAAAUACAUAUGCACAAAUUUUUUUUAUAAGCAUUUGAAGUUUGAAUUUUGACAAAAUUGAUCAAAAUCACGAAAUUUAUCAAUCAUUGUAAUUAUAAAAUUAUAAAAUGCUCAGUUUUUUUAAACUAUAAGGAUUGAAAAUUUAAAACAAAGAUUCUCAUAAAUAGUUCAUACUGCAACCAAUAAAUCUAAAAAAUAUUGUUGAUAUAUGAAACUUUUAGAGUAUAUUGUUAUACUUAAUAUACACGCAAUGACAUUUUCAAAUAUAAUUUUUUUGGAAAAAAUUAAUUUUACCUACUGUAGUUUAUACUAAUGCCUAAUACUAAAAUUAAUUACUUUACUUAAAAUAAUAUCAUAAAAUAUGCCUACCUAUCGUAAUAUUAUAGGCUUACAUACCGUCUCCGCUCAGAAUCGUUUUUCGUACACAAUGAUAUUAUAUUAUUGAAUUCAAAUUUAAUACAAUCCAUUAUACAGUGACCCACUUGUAACCUACUGUACAACAGAGUGACAUCCAUUUUUUUUUUCAAUUAUUGUCAAUAAAUAAUUUUUGCUCCAUCCAAAAACUUGAAAAUUUAAUACAACGUACCACAACGUAACACAAAUUAUUAUUAUAUUAUAAUGUAAUUAAAAAAAAAGUUGAAUUCCCAAUUAUUUUUAAUGAGCAUCUGAAGGAAGAAAUUUUACAAAAUUCGUCAAAAUUGUUAAACCUCACAAGUUAUUUUCAGUUAGAAAUUCAUUAAAUAUCUUCAUUUUAUAUCUAAUAAGAUUUUUCCUACAUUUUUCUAUCUUAAACAAAAAAAAAAAAUUUGGGAAGUGGGUGUCGCUAUGUUGUACAGUAUGGCUUACAACCCAGACAGCACAAUAUGUUUGACUAAAACUAUUAUAAUAAUAUUAUUUGUGAUUAUAAUAUUAUUAUAAUAUUAUCAUUUCAAAAUACUGUCUGGGUAGUGGUCACUGUAAUGGAUGGUGUUAAAUUUGUAUUCAAUCAUUUCAAUCAUAUAAUAUCACUAUAGGUAUAUGAAAGAAGAUUCUCAGCGGAGAUGGUUUGAAAGCCUAGAAAAAUUUAUAUUGUUAUUAAUAAUAUGAUAGCCGGUUAAGUUGAAUUAUUAAUAUUUGAUUAUCAUCAUAUUUGUAUAGAAUAAUAUGCUUAAGAAGUUUUAAAUACCCACGAAUAAUAGUUAAAACAUAACAGAAAACUAAAAUUGUUUAUUUUAGUUUAAAUAUAAGAGUAUAUCUAAUUUUGUCCAAAUUUGAACUAAAAAUAUCUAUAAAAAAAAAACUUAGUUUUUAGAUUUUCUGGUUACAGAAUAACCCACUUUCGUGGAACCCUGUUUAAAAUUUUAAUAAAUUUAAUACAAGUCCAAAAUAAUAAAAUGUAAUACAAUAGACAAUAAUAAAUACAUUUAUAGUACCCAUAUAAUUUUAAUAAUAAUGCUAUAAAAUAAUAAAAAUGUAAUAUUAUAAUUAGGUUCACCUCUUUCGUAUGGUAUGUCUUACGACUGUUAAAAAGGCUUGUUUAUAGGCGAGUAUACAUAUAACCUAUUAUUAUACCAAAAAAACGUUUGUUUUUAUGUAAUGUUUCUAAUUAAAGUUCAAAUUAUAAGUAUCUAUAGUAAUUUCGUAUAUAUUUAUUAGUCUACUACAUUUGAAAAACCAUCCAGAAUGAAUUUCCUAUUAUAAGUUUAUAACAAACUAAAUUUUUUUAAAAAUUACCUCUGCAAUUACUUUUUAAUUUUUGAUGAAUAAUUAUUAUAAUAUGAAACUUUUUAUAGUUAUCUCUACAAUUUGAUAUAUACCAUAUUAUCAUUACACUAAAACUAAAUAGUAAACUACUAAAUUAUAGCAAAAGCCAAAAAUAUGAUCUUCAUUAGGGAACUUGAAAAUUAAAUAUAUAUAUUACAAUGUAUGUAAGCUCCGUGCUAUUUUUUAUGUAACUUUAAUGUAUUUUUCAAUACAGUUUUAACAUAUUUUGAUAUAUUUUCAUUCAUUUUUUUCGGGACUAUUUUUUCCGAUUAACGAAUAUUAUAGUUCAUCGUUCUAACUAGUGGCCCCCCAUACAAAAUUCCUGACUACGCCACUGAUUCUACUUAUCGUACACGAAAAAUAAACUUGGCUAAACGUAUAUUAUACGUUAUAAUAAGCUGCAUAUACUUUAAUAUUAACAUCACUAUGAUUGAUAUUAAAUUAUAUGUAAUACUUAUCUUGCCCCGGUUGGAAGUUUAACCUGGGCAUCCUUGCGUUUAUGGAUAUACUAUAUAGGUACCAAAAAUAUUGAUAUUAUAAUCAUAUAGAUCAAUAGUAUUGUGUUUAAUUUUACCAUUAUAUAUUAUGUAAUAUGUAUUAAUGUUAGAUGUCUGCAGACUGCAGGUAACUUGUACAAAUCAUUGAUUGUUUUAAUUAAAUUAAAUUAAAAUCUUUACCUAA